UACGUAGGCAGCGAGCGUUGUUCGGAAUUACUGGGCGUAAAGAGUGUGUAGGCGGUGUUCCCAGUCUGUUGUGAAAUCUCCCGGCCUAACUGGGAGGGUGCAGCGGAAACUAGAAUGCUAGAGGGUGGGAGAGGUAAGCGGAAUUCCUGGUGUAGCGGUGAAAUGCGUAGAUAUCAGGAGGAACACCUGUGGUGUAGACAGCUUACUGGACCACUUCUGACGCUGAGACACGAAAGCGUGGGUAGCAAACAGG
rnacentral:rRNA from 1 species